rnacentral:rRNA from 1 species
CCCAUAGCGUAUAUUAAAGUUGUUGCAGUUAAAAAGCUCGUAGUUGAAUUUCGGGGUUAGUAGGUUGGUCAUGCCUCUGGUAUGUACUGGUCUCACUGAUUCCUCCUUCCUGAUGAGCCGUAAUGCCAUUAAUUUGGUGUUGCGGGGAAUUUGGACUGUUACUUUGAAAAAAUUAGAGUGUUUAAAGCAAGCUAACGCUUGAAUACAUUAGCAUGGAAUAAUGAAAUAGGACGUUCGAUCCUAUUUUGUUGGUUUCUAGGAUUGACGUAAUGAUUAAUAGGGAUAGUUGGGGGCAUUAGUAUUCAAUUGUCAGAGGUGAAAUUCUUGGAUUUAUUGAAGACUAACUACUGCGAAAGCAUUUGCCAAGGAUGUUUUCAUUAAUCAAGAACGAAAGUUAGGGGAUCGAAGACGAUCAGAUACCGUCGUAGUCUUAACCAUAAACUAUGCCGACUAGGGAUCGGAUGAUGUUAAUUUUUUAAUGACUCAUUCGGCGCCUUACG